rnacentral:lncRNA from 1 species
UUAUGAAGUGUUUAAGCAUGAUAGUUAAGUGGUGUGUUUGAUUUAUUAACUUUUGAAUGCUUAUAUGUUUAAUUAUUGUGUAAAUCCCAAGUUUGCACAAGCUGUAAUGAAUUGGUCAUAACUCCUUCUAGAGAACUCCAAAUCCAUCUCUGUAAAAUUUAUUGGAAAGCUAACUUAAUUAUCUUUCCAACGGUAUAUAGCUUGCAUGUUAAUUCUGGCUCAAUCAAUACAGUUUUUAUUUCGAAGUUGACCUUUCUGCAUUUUCUUAAGUUUUGAAUGCUUAUAUGCUUCAUGAUUGUAUGCUUGAUGGAUGGAUUAUUUGUUUGAAUUAAUUAUCUUUUGGAUGUUUAAAAUCAUGAAUUGUGCAUUAAAUUGGCUCUUGAGAUGUUUCGGGAUCACAAAAUGAUCACGGAAUUGAUAGAAACAAGCCGGAAAGCAAGUAGAGUGCAGGUGGACAGCAACCAGGCGGCUAGCCGCUUGGAAAACUGUCCCAAACCCGAGAGCAAGCGGCUAGCCGCUUGGUCACUGGUUGGGAAAUUUUUUUUUGCUUGUUCUUCUUCCUUCGUGAUUUUUCUGCACAUGUUUCUCUUCUCUCACCAAAACCGUGAACAUCCUCUCCAUUUUCACCUCCAUUUUCUUCCUUUUUCAUCCAUUUUCAUGCCCAAAUCAACCAUUCAAACUAAUACCCAUGCAUUUCAUCUUCAUUAAACACUUCUCCAUCAUGAUUUCUUCACUUAUUUUUCAUCAUUUCAUCAUCAUCUCUCACGAGUGAACAGUACCUCACCAUUUCUCUCUCAAAAUUCAUCUUUCACUCAUUUUCUUGUUAAAAUCAAUCAUCCAAAUCAUUAUUCAUCCAUUACUCCUUCAAUUUUCGUUCUCAACACUUCAUUUCAUCAACUCUCCACAUAAAAUCCAAACUCAAAAACCUAACUCUACCCGUUUCUCUCUCUACAUUUUCAAGCUUCCUUUAGCCCAUUUUUGAUCCAAUAGACAUCAUAUAUUAGCUUCAUUCAUCUCUAGCAUCGAUUUUCUUGGCUCGAACAAAUCCAUUUCACUCAAUUUUUGUAAAUCCGAAAUUGGAUCUUUAAGCUUAUUUUUUGUUCCAACAAUGGUGGAUAAGUUGCCAAGAGAUGUAAGGACAAUUAUGGAGAUAAUACGGAGUACAUGUCAACCCACUUUCAGCAUCUACCUCUUCGGAAACGGUUUAUUUUGUUGAUCUUUGUAAUUUGAAGAAUUUAAAAAAAAUUGUGACAAAUCUCUUAGUUAUUUUUUUUUUAAUUGCUAUGUUUUUUUUUAAUAUUUUAGUUAUUAAGGAGCAAUACUAUGAAAAUUUUUAUCCUCGCAUAUAAUUGUUACAAGUGUUGGGGGAAUUCAUAUUGAAUUUGAUGAUUGAUGAUUAUAUAUGUGUUGCUUGAUGAAUUAAUGGAGUUGUUGGUUUGUUAUAAUUGUUUAAGCUUAUAUGGAAGUGUUUUUAAUCAUGUUGUGUAUUUGAGGAUUUGAGCAUUUUAAGGGGAGACUAUGCCGAAAUUUUUGCUCGCACAAAAUUGGUAAUAUCUUUAUCGAAUUAUUUUUUAUGCUCUUGUUUCGAUUGCAUUUUUUCUAUUCUUUUGAAAGGGGAGAUAAAUAUGAUAUGUUUUUUGAUAAUAGCAUUUUGUUUAAAUUUUUUAAUUGGCCAUAUAUUUAGGGGGAGCAUACAAUAUGAUUUUGGAUAAUAUGCAUUUUGAGCAUUCUUUUGAUGGCAUGAUGGUUCAUGAUCAUUUUAUGGUUAAUUGGAUGUUUGGUUAUUAUAUGUUUCUUGUUUAACCAUUGACAUAUUAUCGAUCUUAGCAUGAAUUUCUAGUAAUUUUGAUGAUGAAGGGGGAGAAGUCAUGUAUUUUGAAUAUGAAGACAUGUAAUACGUAUUUUUGUAUUUCAAGUAUUUAUGCAUGUUUUAGAAAUAUUAAGGGGGAGCUUUCAAAUUAUCAUAAAUCAAAUAUUCAGGGGA